rnacentral:rRNA from 1 species
UGGAUUAGGCAUGCAAGUCGAACGAGAACCCCGCAAGGGGUGAAAGUGGCAAACGGCGUAGUAAGGCGUAGGUGACGUACCUCCCGAUUCAGGAUAGCUACGGGAAACUGUAGGUAAUACUGGAUAACCCCUCCGAGAUUGAAAAUCGGAGUGCAAAGGUGUGAUUCCGUCAGGAGAGCGGCUUACGUGGUAUUAGCUAGUUGGUGAGGUAAUGGCUCACCAAGGCUUCGAUGCCUAGGGGGUGUUAGCGCAUGACCCCCACGACUGGGACUGAGAUACUGCCCAGACACCUACGGGUGGCUGCAGUCGAGAAUCUUCGGCAAUGGGCGCAAGCCUGACCGAGCGACGCCGCGUGUGGGGUGAAGGCCCUUGGGUUGUAAACCACUGUCAGAGGGGAUGAAAUGCGGGUGGGUUCUCCCAUCCGUUUGACAUAGCCUCAGAGGAAGCACGGGCUAAGUUCGUGCCAGCAGCCGCGGUA